rnacentral:rRNA from 1 species
UACGAAGGGUGCAAGCGUUACUCGGAAUUACUGGGCGUAAAGCGUGCGUAGGUGGUUUGUUAAGUCUGAUGUGAAAGCCCUGGGCUCAACCUGGGAAUUGCAUUGGAUACUGGCAGGCUAGAGUGCGGUAGAGGAUGGCGGAAUUCCCGGUGUAGCAGUGAAAUGCGUAGAGAUCGGGAGGAACACCAGUGGCGAAGGCGGCUCGCUGGGCCGGACCUGACGCUGAGACGCGAAGGCGUGGGGAGCGAACGGG